CUUUCCUAUAGGCAGCGUAUAACAAGGUGAAGGUGUUUGUAACCCAUUUUUACUGUGCAAGAAACAGUAACAGCUCCGUUUGCUCCCUAACCCCAGACUAGAGAACGUGCUGGCGUGGAGAGGGGACAUUUGGAUAUAGAAGAGAAAGGAAAAUCUCCCAUCUUCACAUCCGCCUCAUUGCACCGCGGAAGGCAAUCAGCCAUGAUUCCACUUUGCUUUUCUGCACCACAGAGCAGUCCACGGAGAGACAUCCAUACAGAUGAGAGGAGAAUGAGGUCCACUAUGCUUCAAAAAGACAUACUUGGUGUGUUAUUACACAGCUUCUCCUGCUAAUGGCAACGGGGUAUCAUCCUCAGAGAAGGCUGCCAUCAGCAUGGCAGCUGAAUACACCCAGUACUCUUCCCAGUGUUUUCACUGCUAAAAAAAAAAAAAAAAAUGGAGGUGCUCAUAUCCAACGAGGACACUUCUCCAGCCCUGUUUCCUAGCACACUUUCCCAAUAUACAAAAAAUCACCUGGGUGAAACACUCAGGAGAGCUCCAUUAGAGACCCAGCAGGAGGCCUUGCUGAAGAGCCAGCUCCACUUGGCAUCCAAACAUGGCAUCCAACCGUGAUGCUGUGUGGCUGGUCCUGCCUAACGACCCCAAGCACAAGGCCCAACUCAGGCCCUGCUGCGUGGUCCCAUGUUAUCUUUCUCAGAACCAUACAGAAAAAUCACUGAAAACACUAUUUCUUUUUGACCACGCCUGAUGGGGCAGGAGAAUCAAACCAUGUGGGGAGGGCAGGACCACCCCUCUUUUUGCAGCAAAGAGGAUUUGCACAGGAGUCAAUCACAGUGUUGUGGCAUAAGGAGUGCUGCAAAUUUGUAAGGUUGCUCCUAGCUCUUAUCAGGAGAGAGAUCAGAAGAGCAAUCGAU
rnacentral:lncRNA from 1 species